GUAGGUGGCAAGCGUUGUCCGGAAUUAUUGGGCGUAAAGCGCGCGCAGGCGGUUCGUUUAAGUCUGAUGUGAAAGACCCACGGGCUCAACCGUGGAGGGUCAUUGGAAACUGGAGAACUUGAGUACAGAAGAGGAAAGCGGAAUUCCACGUGUAGCGGUGAAAUGCGUAGAGAUGUGGAGGAACACCAGUGGCGAAGGCGGCGUUUCUGGUCUGUAACUGACGCUGAGGCGCGAAAGACGUGGGGAGCAAACAGGAGUUAGAUACCCUGGUAGUCCACGCCGUAAACGAUGAGUGCUAAGUGUUAGGGGGUUUCCGCCCCUUAGUGCUGCAGCUAACGCAUUAAGCACUCCGCCUGGGGAGUACGGCCGCAAGGCUG
rnacentral:rRNA from 1 species